GCCGAUGUGGUGGAAUUGGUAGACACACCAUCUUGAGGGGGUGGCGCUGCAAGGCGUGCCGGUUCAAAUCCGGCCAUCGGCACCA
rnacentral:tRNA from 1 species